rnacentral:rRNA from 1 species
GUGAACGCUGGCGGUAGGCCUAACACAUGCAAGUCGAACGGCAGCACAGUAAGAGCUUGCUCUUACGGGUGGCGAGUGGCGGACGGGUGAGGAAUACAUCGGAAUCUACUUUUUCGUGGGGGAUAACGUAGGGAAACUUACGCUAAUACCGCUUACGACCUACGGGUGAAAGCAGGGGAUCUUCGGACCUUGCGCGAUUGAAUGAGCCGAUGUCGGAUUAGCUAGUUGGCGGGGUAAAGGCCCACCAAGGCGACGAUCCGUAGCUGGUCUGAGAGGAUGAUCAGCCACACUGGAACUGAGACACGGUCCAGACUCCUACGGGAGGCAGCAGUGGGGAAUAUUGGACAAUGGGCGCAAGCCUGAUCCAGCCAUACCGCGUGAGUGAAGAAGGCCUUCGGGUUGUAAAGCCCUUUUGUUGGGAAAGAAAAGCAGCAGGUUAAUACCCCGCUGUUCUGACGGUACCCAAAGAAUAAGCACCGGCUAACUUCGUG